rnacentral:rRNA from 1 species
GAUGAACGCUGGCGGCGUGCCUAAUACAUGCAAGUCGUGCGGAAAGGCCACUUCGGUGGUACUCGAGCGGCGGACGGCAGAGUAACGCGUAGGAACAUACCCCAAACUGAGGGAUAACUGCUCGAAAGAGUAGCUAAUACCGCAUGUGAUCUUCGGAUUAAAGCUUCGGCGGUUUGGGAAUGGCCUGCGUCCGAUUAGCUUGUUGGUGAGGUAAUAGCUCACCAAGGCGACGAUUCGGUAGCUGGUCUGAGAGGAUGAUCAGCCUGACUGGAACUGAGAACGGUCCAGACUCCUACGGGAGGCAGCAGUAGGGAAUUUUCCACAAUGGGCGAAAGCCUGAUGGAGCAACGCCGCGUGCAGGAUGAAUGCCUUCGGGUUGUAAACUGCUUUUAUUAGUGAAGAAUAUUGACGGUAACUAAUGAAUAAGGGUC